AGCAGCACGAUAGGACGAUACCCGGCGGC
rnacentral:sRNA from 1 species